CACGUAGGGGGCAAGCGUUGUCCGGAUUUAUUGGGCGUAAAGAGCUCGUAGGUGGUUCGGUAAGUCGGGUGUGAAACCUCCAGGCUCAACCUGGAGACGCCACCCGAUACUGCUGUGACUGGAGUCCGGUAGGGGAGCGUGGAAUUCCUGGUGUAGCGGUGAAAUGCGCAGAUAUCAGGAGGAACACCGGUGGCGAAGGCGGGUCUCUGGGCAGUAACUGACGCUGAGGAGCGAAAGCGUGGGGAGCGAACAGG
rnacentral:rRNA from 1 species